rnacentral:rRNA from 1 species
GUACUCUUGACAUCCAGAGAAUUCAGCAGAGAUGCUUUGGUGCCUUUGGGAACUUUGAGACAGGUGCUGCAUGGCUGUCGUCAGCUCGUGUUGUGAAAUGUUGGGUUAAGUCCCGCAACGAGCGCAACCCUUAUCCUUUGUUGCCAGCGGUUCGGCCGGGAACUCAAAGGAGACUGCCGGUGAUAAACCGGAGGAAGGUGGGGAUGACGUCAAGUCAUCAUGGCCCUUACGAGUAGGGCUACACACGUGCUACAAUGGCGCAUACAAAGAGAAGCGACCUCGCGAGAGCAGGCGGACCUCACAAAGUGCGUCGUAGUCCGGAUCGGAGUCUGCAACUCGACUCCGUGAAGUCGGAAUCGCUAGUAAUCGUGGAUCAGAAUGCCACGGUGAAUACGUUCCC